CUAAGCGUACACGGUGGAUGCCCUGGCAGUCAGAGGCGAUGAAGGGCGUGCUAAUCUGCGAUAAGCGCCGGUAAGGUGAUAUGAACCGUUAUAACCGGCGAUACCCGAAUGGGGAAACCCAGUGUGAUUCGUCACACUAUCAUUAACUGAAUCCAUAGGCUAAUGAGGCGAACCGGGGGAACUGAAACAUCUAACUACCCCGCGGAAAAGAAAUCAACCGAGAUUCCCCCA
rnacentral:rRNA from 1 species